UGCAUGACCAUGUAAUGAAGCAUAAACAAUAGGUCUUCUAGUUGGAAAAUCGAAGCUGCUACUAGUAAUUUGGUAUUCAAGUUGAGAGGAAUCAAUCCAUGAACCAUGAUUAUGUUGUAAGUCUAUCCAAUAUUCACCAUCACUGUUAGGAUCCUGAGGAAGAUUAGUUCCAUUUUGUGCUACUGGAACAGGAUUUGAUUCUUGACCUUUCUUGUAUAGUAAUGCUCCAUUGGAGAAAAACCAAUUAACUGAAGAAGGAAAUUGAUGGAGGGUUACUAGCAUCGCCGAUUUGUGCGAUAAAGGAUCCAACGCGAACACCGGGAGCUUGAACACCUCUAUUGGAUGGUCUAACAUCAUAAAAAUUGAGGUUUAUCUACUGUUGUGGUGACAACAUGGCCUAAAGCUUUAUAACCAUCAGGUGCCAUUGGUAGCCAAACAAACAAAGAGGAAUCUUGUGAAGCUGAAAUAGAUGUAGUGUUGAAUACAAGUGUGUAAUCGAUUGGUGAUUUUAAAGUUCCAUUGGUUGUGCUUGAAGAAACAUCUUUUGCAACAAGAACAUAUCCAAAAAGUGGCUUGUUGUUUGGUUGGCUGUAACUACCUAACAUAGAGAAUCCUUGAGGUAUUCCUGUUGGUUCGUAGACUGAGACGCCUUGAUCGUCUGGUCCAUCUUCGUAGGCGCCCCAAACUUUGCUAAACGUUGAUACUUGAGACACUUGUAGUCCGCCUAGGUCAAGGAUUCCAUUCGCGAAACCGUUACCUGCAUUUCGCAAUUCAAUAUUCGAUAUAAUGAGACUAAUUCACUACUAUAUUGUUUUAAAAAAAGCUAUAACAAACAGGCCUUUAUUCACUAGAAUGUAUCACAAGAGGACAAAAAAUGGCAGCCAUACGAUGGAUACCUACCUUCUGGCCAUGAAUUUGAUGUAAUUGGAAGCUUAAAUAUGUUAUCAACCGGGCGCAAUCGGGAUCGCUUUUCCUUGAAGAUUUUCUUAUGAUCUGCAUAUAUACAAUAACAUAGGAUAAGACAACUACAAAAAUGUGACGAUGUAUGGAGAACAAGGUCAGUCUAUAAUAGCGUUGUUCAAUUUCACUUAUACACUUAGUUGUUCUAUUUAGGUUUGUUUUUGUUGAAUCUUUUCACGAAUUAAGGGGCUAUACAUUUCUAUCAAUCUUAUUUGGGAUAAGCAUCUAUGGUCAUUAAUUAAUGUUCCUUUAAUGAAUAA